GCCAGCUUCGACUUCGGCCCCAGACUUAGGGCUCAGCGGGGGCCGGUGAGUAACGGACACGUCCGCCGCCAUCUUGGGAAACCCGGCGCCUUCUGGGACCAGCGAGCCGGGGCGGAGCGGCAUAGAGCGGCAACGAGGGCGCGCCCGUCGAUUGGCUGGGAGAAACCACACCUCCUUCCCUCCCCCCUCACCCCAUUGGCUAAGCCCCAGCCCGCCUCUCAAGAGUUCAAGCUGCGUCUGCGCGCCACAGACCCCGCCCCCUUCCGUUGCAGCGACGCUACUCAGCGCCUGUGCACCUGGGUGGGAGAACCUUGCAGCGCGGGUGGAAUCAAACCACAGAUUAGGGAGUUUGAAGGUUUUAUUGGUGCGGAAUCUGAGGGCACAGCCAAGUCCCCGCCAACUUUGACCCCGGAUCCGAGCGUCACUCAACUGUGGACGGUUCUUCCCCCAUUGCCUCUGUCGGCUGCAUAGACGUGAGGGGCAGAGAGGUGCUCUCCUGCCUAACAUGGUACCUGCCGCUCCGUUUGUGCUCCCUGAAGACGUACAUUAAGGCCACUACGACAGUCACCACGCCCAGGGUCACUAACACCGCCAAGAAGACGAGGACAAAGUGGGAGUUCCCAGCUGUGCAGAGAAAGCGCUAAGUCAAUAUGCGUCCCCCCUGUCUCCAACCCCCCUGCCCCCCGGCUUACGGGUCCAGACCCGCAGCCCCGUGUUAACUCACCCUCAAUGUCCAUCACCACGACCAGGGUGUAUCUGCCUCGUGAGCUGGACGCUUGGCACUGAUAAGUACCAUUAUGUGUUACAUUAACGAAGAACGGGAUCCCCACCGGCACCUCCCGGCUGGAGCCUUCCUUCAAACAUCGCAGCUCGGGGUGCGGGUUGCCCCUGGCUUGGCACUGCAGGACGUGUCUCGUUUUAUCUUUCCACUUCAAGUGCUGGGGGCAUGUGGCUCGGUCAAUUUUGGGACCAUCUGUGGAACCACCAUGUGUGAUCAGACACCCAACACACCCGAGGCACAGUGGUGCCGAGGAGCGUCUAAUCUUUCCAGGGCAGGGGUGGAGGGAUUAAAGGUCAGGGUGACCGACUCACACAGGACACGCAGCUGGACGCUACUGUUCCUGUGAAAGAACUCGCCGUCCACCUCGAGAGUGGCACUGCAGAAGAAGCUGCGUCCGUCGUCACUCUCGGUAGCAUUUAGCUGAAGUUGAGCUGGCUGCCCCGGGGCCGCGGCCGGAACUCCGUCCAGCGUGACCUGGACUCGAGCCCCAGCCAUGCAACUCACGGUCACUGUGGACCCCUCAGGGGCGCUGGGCUCGCUGAGAUUCAGAAUGGGUCCUAGGAAGCCUAAAGGCGGGGCAUUGCCCAGGAGCUUAAUGAACAUGACCUUCCUGUGGGUCAAGCCGCUCCCUCCGCCCUCCCCUUUCCUCUCGGGAUAUCCGGGCCACGCUUUCGGCCGUUCAAGCCUCGCCCUCUUUCCGCGCUGUGUCCAACUUCGGGCACUCAGGCCCAGCCCACGUUGCAACUGCUAUUGGAGCAAGCCAGGCCCCACCUUUUCGGCUAGUCUCCGCCCCCUCUGCCACGCCCCCAGACUGCUGAGGCCGCGCCCCCUUCCCACGCUUCCUCUUACUAAAGACCGUCAAGUUCUCCCGGGCCUCCCGUCUCUCGCCCCCUAGGGUCACGUUGCAGACGAUCUCCUGGGCACCCUCCUGAUCCGCGCGCGCCAUGGCUGUGGCUGUGGCCGUCAGCGUGUCCCCGUGGUUCACGACUGUCGCAUUCAGCAUCUGGUCCCCCAGCGCCAGGUAGACCUGGGCCUCUGAGGCCGGAAAAAGCCCAUCUAGGGUGCAGUCCACCGGCCACGACGUUUCCGCCUCCAAGAACCGGGGAGCCACUAGGCGCGGGGGGGUCACGGGCAGGACUGGGGAGAAAGGUGGGCAUGAGUACAACCCCCAGGACUGUGCCUUCCCCAAGACACCCUCAUCCCCCCCAAUCAGGAUAUUUUGCUGACUGGGUCACCCUUCUUCGCAGGACACACACACAGGGCCAUGAAAACGGCCUUCUCCAAAGAUCUCACGGCUCGGGCCUCCCUUCCGGGGCCACCCUGCCCAGUGGCCGGGGUCUUUCCUUCCCAGAAGCCUGUGAGGUCCAGGGUACCCGACUCUCAGGAACCCCAAGGUCAGGGCACCGUCUACCCUGGCUCAGCUCGUCACCCACCGUCUGAAGCCCCUUCUCUCACCAAAGGUUCGGAGCUGGCGGGGGGCUGAGGUGUUCACGAACAGUCCCAGCCCCCGGGGCUGCAUGUCCAGUUCUGUGCGGCAUGAGAAAUGGGCUCCGUGGUGGCCUCUGCUGGCCAGCACAGUGGCAGUGACCUCCGCUGGCUCUUCCACUGCGGGUUGCCGGCUCAGCUCCUCCUCCCAGCGAAGCAGCACCACCGUGAGGCUGGUCCGGGGCGACCCACCCUCCACUUGGCAGCGCAGGGUGAAGUUCUGGCCCACCGGCUGCCAAAGAGGCAGGGGUGCCAGCUCCACGCGCUCCGGGAGCCCUGAGAGAGGUGGGGAGGAUGGCAUUUAGCGGGUCCUGCAACCCACCCACCCACCCCAGGGACUGGGGAGGAGACAGGGCGGUCCUGCCGAGAACUGUGAGCUUUGAGUUAAUAAACUUAGAGGGCUUAGAACUGGGCCAGUCGAAGCGUUUGCUAUUAUCAUUAGCGCAGUGAUUAUCAUUUCCUGUGUUGUCAGACGCCUUGCAAGGCGCUAAACAAAAUUUUCUGUUCUCAAAGAUGGCACAAUAAAAAAAAAAUGAGGAUGGAAGGGA
rnacentral:antisense_RNA from 1 species